AUUUCCUCUAAGUAUUCUCUCAUCAGGUAAAAAGUAUCUGUUCUAAUCAGCUUAAUAUCUGCUAUCUUCUGCAUCACACGGCUAGAAUAUUAAACUCAGUUUUGUCUCAUGACAGAAUACUAAGAGCGUGCUCUACCUCUGUCCAAGGUUGCCUCCUCACUUUCGAACUCUUUUAAAAUAACCAAAUGCUU